rnacentral:rRNA from 1 species
AGCGAACGUUAGCGGCGCGCCUAACACAUGCAAGUCGCACGAGAAAGGGAGCAAUCCCCGGUACAGUGGCGCACGGGUGAGUAACACGUAGAUGACCUUCCCUGGAGUGGUGGAUAACCUGCCGAAAGGCGGGCUAAUACAGCAUGGGACCACAUGGUUUUGACCGAGUGGUGAAAGCGGGCCUCUGUUCACAAGCUCGCGCUCUGGGAUGGGUCUGCGUCCCAUCAGCUAGUUGGUGAGGUAAUGGCUCACCAAGGCAUCGACGGGUAGCUGGCCUGAGAGGAUGACCAGCCACACUGGAACUGAGACACGGUCCAGACUCCUACGGGAGGCAGCAGUGGGGAAUCUUGCGCAAUGGGCGAAAGCCUGACGCAGCGACGCCGCGUGGGUGAUGAAGGCC